rnacentral:sRNA from 1 species
CCAUACGCAGGGACUUGGUCAACUUCGGGGGAUGAUUCUUGGGAAUAGUUCCCGCCAUCUUUGUGUGUUUGCGUUUUACAUGCCUCUGGCGGGUGGUGGAGGUGGUGGGCAGGGAUGAACACCAUUUCCCUUCCCUGUCUCAACCCGCUGGGCCGUCCGCACACGGGACAAACGAGCACAGGGGUCUUGCUCCAGCAUCGCAGGCGACAGGAAGAGGAACAGCACACAGUGACGCCUCUCGAAACCCCUUCGUAUGUCUACGCAGUUGCAGAUGCUUCUUUACAGGAUAAAAUUUCAUGCA